CGAACGAUGAUGCCCAGCUUGCUGGGUGGAUUAGUGGCGAACGGGUGAGUAACACGUGAGUAACCUGCCCCUGACUCUGGGAUAAGCGUUGGAAACGACGUCUAAUACUGGAUAUGACUGCCGGCCGCAUGGUCUGGUGGUGGAAAGAUUUUUUGGUUGGGGAUGGACUCGCGGCCUAUCAGCUUGUUGGUGAGGUAAUGGCUCACCAAGGCGACGACGGGUAGCCGGCCUGAGAGGGUGACCGGCCACACUGGGACUGAGACACGGCCCAGACUCCUACGGGAGGCAGCAGUGGGGAAUAUUGCACAAUGGGCGAAAGCCUGAUGCAGCAACGCCGCGUGAGGGAUGACGGCCUUCGGGUUGUAAACCUCUUUUAGUAGGGAAGAAGCGAAAGUGACGGUACCUGCAGAAAAAGCACCGGCUAACUACGUGCCAGCAGCCGCGGUAAUACGUAGGGUGCAAGCGUUGUCCGGAAUUAUUGGGCGUAAAGAGCUCGUAGGCGGUUUGUCGCGUCUGCUGUGAAAUCCCGAGGCUCAACCUCGGGCUUGCAGUGGGUACGGGCAGACUAGAGUGCGGUAGGGGAGAUUGGAAUUCCUGGUGUAGCGGUGGAAUGCGCAGAUAUCAGGAGGAACACCGAUGGCGAAGGCAGAUCUCUGGGCCGUAACUGACGCUGAGGAGCGAAAGCAUGGGGAGCGAACAGGAUUAGAUACCCUGGUAGUCCAUGCCGUAAACGUUGGGCGCUAGAUGUAGGGACCUUUCCACGGUUUCUGUGUCGUAGCUAACGCAUUAAGCGCCCCGCCUGGGGAGUACGGCCGCAAGGCUAAAACUCAAAGGAAUUGACGGGGGCCCGCACAAGCGGCGGAGCAUGCGGAUUAAUUCGAUGCAACGCGAAGAACCUUACCAAGGCUUGACAUACACCGGAAACGGCCAGAGAUGGUCGCCCCCUUGUGGUCGGUGUACAGGUGGUGCAUGGUUGUCGUCAGCUCGUGUCGUGAGAUGUUGGGUUAAGUCCCGCAACGAGCGCAACCCUCGUUCUAUGUUGCCAGCGCGUUAUGGCGGGGACUCAUAGGAGACUGCCGGGGUCAACUCGGAGGAAGGUGGGGAUGACGUCAAAUCAUCAUGCCCCUUAUGUCUUGGGCUUCACGCAUGCUACAAUGGCCGGUACAAAGGGCUGCGAUACCGUAAGGUGGAGCGAAUCCCAAAAAGCCGGUCUCAGUUCGGAUUGAGGUCUGCAACUCGACCUCAUGAAGUCGGAGUCGCUAGUAAUCGCAGAUCAGCAACGCUGCGGUGAAUACGUUCCCGGGCCUUGUACACACCGCCCGUCAAGUCAUGAAAGUCGGUAACACCCGAAGCCGGUGG
rnacentral:rRNA from 2 species